UAGCACUCGGAAGGAUCCCAAAUUUCAGAGAUGGAUAUUAAAAAAACCGUCUAAGAAUGUCUUAAAAAUGAUAUCGUCCAAACUCAACAAUUCUUCGAGGAAGAUGUUUUACAACCUUUAGCUUGAG